rnacentral:pre_miRNA from 1 species
GUAGUAUUCCCUCCGUCCCAAAAUUCUUGUCUUACAUUUGUUUAGAUACGGAUGUAUCUAACAAUAAAAUGUAACUAGAUACAUCCGUAUUUAGACAAAUUUAAGACAGGAAUUUUGGGACGGAGGGAGUACAAA